AUUGAACGCUGGCGGCAGGCCUAACACAUGCAAGUCGAGCGGCAGCGGAAGGAAGCUUGCUUUCUUGCCGGCGAGCGGCGGACGGGUGAGUAAGGUAUGGGGAUCUGGCCGAAGGCGGGGGAUAACCACUGAAAACGGUGGCUAAUACCGCAUAAUCUCUAAGGAGCAAAGUGGGGGAACGUUCCGGCCUCACACCUUCGGAUGAACCCAUAUGAGAUUAGCUAGUAGGUAGGGUAAUGGCUCACCUAGGCGACGAUCUCUAGCUGGUCUGAGAGGAUGAUCAGCCACACUGGGACUGAGACACGGCCCAGACUCCUACGGGAGGCAGCAGUGGGGAAUAUUGCACAAUGGGCGCAAGCCUGAUGCAGCCAUGCCGCGUGUAUGAAGAAGGCCCUCGGGUUGUAAAGUACUUUCAGUCGUGAGGAAGGUGUUAAGGUUAAUAACCUUAGCAAUUGACGUUAGCGACAGAAGAAGCACCGGCUAACUCCGUGCCAGCCGCCGCCGUAA
rnacentral:rRNA from 1 species